CUUGUAAAUCUAUUCUAAGUUGUGUCUGAUAACAGAGCGUUUUUAAGGAAGAGGACAUUCAUACUCGUGACAAAAUGAACAAGCUGGCAUUUCUCUAAGCACUAUCACAGUAGCAAAUAUUUUCCUGGACUGUGACCAGUCAUCAAGCUAGCACAGAGAGGUUCAAAUGGAAAUGAGCCUUAACAAUCAGAGAACCGACCGAUCCAGCCCCUGCCUACCAUAGACCUCCAUUGAUUUUCUUCCCCAUUAUCUUCUCCAGGGGAUUUUUUCAGCUAGAUGAAAGGCUGUUGUUAUCGUAUGGACAUAAGGAAAUUGUUCUUGGGUGAAACAUGUGGGACGUUUGCAGCUGUGAGGAAGGUGUGUGUGGGUGUGUGCGCGCUUGCACCACCAUCAGCUCUUGGCAGGAUCAUAGGCAUAGGCUCCUAAGGAGACUCCUGCUUCUGAGUUUACCUGCCCGCCUCUCCCCACAACUUUUGUCUGUUCUUGACACAGCAGCCAAAAUGCUCCUUUAAAAAUGUAAGUCACCGAGUUCCCAUCGUGGCUCAGCAGUUAAUGAACCUGACUAGUAUCCAUGAGGAUGCGGGUUUGAUCCUUGGCCUCGCUCAGUGGGUUAAGAAUCUCGUGUUGCCGUGAGCUGUGGUGUAGGUCGCAGAUUCCGCUUGGAUCUGGUGUUGUUGUGGCUGUUGCGCAGGCGGGUAGCUGCAGCUCCGAUUAGACCCCCUAGCCUGGGAACUUCCGUAUGCAGUGGGCAAGGCCCUAAAAGGCAGAAAAAAAAAAGUCAGUCACUCCCCUAAUUGCCCAACAUAUAAUAAGACCCUCCCCGCAGCACUUUGAAUCCCUCUUACCCUGAUUUUGUUGCUACAGCACUUAUCACAAUCAGACCUACUACGUGCUUCCUCGUGGAUUCAUUUAUUUUCUACUUCCUGCCACAAGGGUCAGGAUUUUGCUUCUUGGUUCACAUCUCUGUCCCUGGUGCUUCAAAUAGUGCCUGGCACUUAGUAGGAGCCUCAUAAGUGCUUGUCGAGUGAGGAUUGAAUCAUUCUUGCUGCGUGGCCACCUGCUGUGUAUAGACCCUUGGGCACAUGACCUUCUGCCUGAGGGUGGGAGGCAGUGAACCAGCGCUGCCAGGGGGAUGGUCUCUCGGAGGAGCCUUGUGUGGGGGAGGUGGUGGAGGGUGGGGUACAGAAUUAAGCUUCUGGAGAUGAGUGGGCUGGGCUACCCCCUCCAGAUGAGUAGCCCUUGAUGCCACACGGCAAGGGCUAUGGUCAGCUGGGGUCCACAUCCAUGGCCUGGUUGCCCCUGGGGUCGACUUGCUUAGGUGCUCUGAGGAGGGGAUCAAGGGAACCCCAGUGAUUCGGUCCCCCCAACCCUUUAAGCACAAGUUGGAGGCAGGAACUGGUCCCUUACGUACAAUGACAGCUCUUUUGAGGCGUCUCUCCUUGCAGCUGUCAGCCCUGCACCCUCCAGUCAUGUCUCAUAGCGACUGAGUCAUGGUUCGGAACAGCGGUGGGUGUGUGGGCAGGGAGUGACUGAGCCCAUCGAUCCAUCCAGAGCUGAGACAUCCUCCCCGCUAAUCAACAAGUUAAUACACUCUUCAGUGAGGAGAUGGUGAUGAAUGAACCAAUGAGCCGACCCAGUAAUUGGGGAGUGGAAUGGAAGGGCAGGGCAUGAUGGACAGGGAGCAUGUGUGAGGAUGCGGGAGGCUGGUUCCUGGCCCACCCUGAGGGACCCCCUCUAGUCCCAUUUACUUUCUUUUUCUUUCUUUUUUUUUUGUUUUGUGUGUGUCUUUUUGCUAUUUCUUUGGGCCGCACCUGUGGCAUAUGGAGGUUCCCAGGCUAGGAUCGGAGCUGUAGCCACCAGCCUACGCCAGAGCCACAGCAACUCGGGAUCCGAGCCGUGUCUGCAACCUACACCACAGCUCACGGCAACGCCGGACCGUUAACCCACUGAGCAAGGGCAGGGACCGAACCCGCAACCUCAUGGUUCCUAGUCAGAUUCGUUAACCACUGCGCCACGACGGGAACUCCCCAUUUACUUUCUAAAGGUGAAGGGGGAAGGGGCUUCCUGAGAGGUGCUGAAUCUGGACCUCCCCCCAGGCCUUCUAACUUCACUCUAUUUCCUCUCCUCCCCCUCCUCAAGGUGUGCAGGGUUCCAAGGAUGCCAAGUUCCCUGUGGGCGUCUCACCACUCCUGUCAUCUCUCUCUGUCCGCGACCAGCACGCCCUGUCUCCACCCCAGCUGGUGCUGCAGUGUGAGCAAUCAGCCUCACUAGGAGUUGCUGUUAUGGCUUAGUGGGUUAAGAACCAACAUAGCAUCCAUGAAGAUGUGGGUUAAGAACCAACAUAGCAUCCAUGAAGAUGUGGGUUCAAUCCCUGGCCUCGCUCAGAGGGUGAAGGAUCCAUCACUGCUGUGAGAUGUGGCGUAGGUCACAGACACGGCUUGGAUCUGGCGUUGCUGUGGCUGUGGCUGGCAGCUGUAGCUGUGAUUGGACCCUUAGUCUGGGAACUCCCAUAUGCUGGUGCGGCCCUAAAGGAAAAAAAAAAUUUGGAGGAGUUCCUGUCGUGGCGCAGUGGUUAACAAAUCUGACUAGGAACCAUGGGGUUGCGGGUUCAAUCCCUGGCCUUGCUCAAUGGGUUAAGGAUCUGGCGUUGCAGUGGGCUGUGGUGUAGGUUGCAGAUGUGGCUUGGAUUGCGCGUUGCUGUGGCUGUGGUGUAGACCAGUGGCUGUGGCUCUGAUUGGACCACUAGCCUGGGAACCUCCAUGUGCCGCAGGAGUGGCCCAAGAAAUGGCAAAAAAGACAAAAAAAGAAAAAAAAAGAAAAAAAAAUCGGCCCCAUCCUUAGAAGUCCCUGCCCCCUUUAGCUUUCAGGCUCCUUGUCCAGGCCUUGACCGCAGGGGAGGAAAGCCGCCCUGUCCAUCCCUAGGGCGAGUGCCUCGAUUUUGUUUUCCCAGGGCCUCUGGAGGAGUGGAGUCCUUUUUUUGAGGACCACAUUGCAUAGGGGUCGAAUCAGAGCUGUAGCCACCGGCCUACGCCAGAGCCACAGCAACUCGGGAUCCGAGCCGCGUCUGCAGCCUCCACCACAGCUCAUGGCAACACCGGAUCCUGAGUGGUGCCAGGGAUCGAACCUGAAUUCUCAUGGAUACUGGUUGGGUUUGUUGCCGCUGAGCCAUGAAGGGAACUCCAGGAGUGGAGUUUUUUUGUUUCUGUUGUUUCCUCUCCAAACGGGACCCAGGCUUGUCCCCCGAGGUUCUCUGUCCCUGUGUCCUGGGCGCUCCUCAGACCAGGCUCUGCAAAGACAGUGGUGUGUUCCUCCCUCAGGCUGGGGCUCCCCAGUGAAACGGCUGCUCCUCUCCCCUCAGACUGCGGGUCCCCAAGGAUAUGGCCUGGGCUUGCUGGGGAACAGGGUGGUGCCUCGCCCCUCAGAUGAGAGCCCCCUGGGGAGAAUGGAUUUUCUCUGCCCCCCGAGGAUGGGGUCCAUGUCGCUCGUCCUGAGGUCUGUCUUCUACCUCCAUGCUCAGCACGCCGACCCGGCCUUUCUUGGGACACAUGGGGCCCAAAGGACCCAACUGGCUGAUAAGCAGCCAUUUCCGGAGAGUGCGGGUGAUUGAACCCAUAAAAAGGUGAUUGAGGGAGCCCUGGACUCUCCACCUCCAGAGACGGCUCUAAAAAUAACACCCACAGCCAUCUGUCCUGGAGGGUGGAGGGGCUGGCCCAGAGCAAGGGGCCAGGACCAGGCGGCCCCUCCUGCUCUCAUGGGCUGAUGGGACGCCUGGAAGCCCAGGAGGAGCCGGCCUGGCCAGGGAAAGGGAGCGGGGAAGGGCUUUAUGGGGAGCCUCCCUGAGAGCCUUCUCUCUUUCUGCUGGGGCCGGAGGGUCCCCAGACUUAGCCUCCCUCCCCCUGUUCCCAUGCCUGACUCCUCAGCCCCACCGUUAUCCUCAUAGGAAGGCUUUCUGCCCCUCGUAAUUGAGUGGGUCUCUUCCUGGGCCCUGCCUCAGCCCUUUUCUCUCGUUGGAAUCCUAGGCGACCUUGGCUGUUCCCUGACCUCUCAGAGCUUCAGAUGCCUCAUCUGUGAAAUGGGGAGAAACUCAGCUCAUUGUGUGGCUGUGCCGGAAAUCAUGUCCUGCCCGGUACACAGCAGGUGCUCAAGAAACAGAAGUCCUUUCUGUUUCCGUCCAAGGUCCUGGGGCAGGGUCUUCGCCCCAGAGUCCAGCGGAGAUUCCAGUGGGCUGGGAUGGUGGCGUGUGCUUGGGCGGCCCUGAUGUCACCCAAUCCCAGAAGACACCAGUGCUCCCGAAGGACACCUGGAUGGGGAGGGGGGCACGAUGCCCUGCAAGGGGUCUCUAUGAAUCUGCAUGUGUCAGCCUGGGUGGGCGGGUGGGCAACGCAGCUGUUUCUCAGGAGGGGAUGGGCUCUUGCCUCCUCCUGCCUCCCCAACUCUUUAACAGAGCAGGAACCUUGUGGGGGUGUCCAGAGAGGGCUCUCCUCCUCAGAAACGGCUCCCACCCCUGCUUCCGGUAGAGAGAGGUUUCCCCGACAGGCCCGGUCACUCCUCGGCCCUUCUCCAAAGCAUUAGCGAGCAGAGGCUGAAAAGGUUGGCUUUCAGAAAGAGGGGUCACAGGUCCCACAGGCUGGGCCAGAUGUAUCUGGCCUCCCACCCAAGGACAGGCUGGGGAAGAUGGAAUUUCAACCCUGGUCCCACGGGUCAUGCCUGAAAUCUGCAUUCAUAUGCUUUGCUGCCUCAGGAGGCUAGACCUGCUGUUGGGGGGUUGUGGGGGUAAAGACGGGGCUCAGGCUAGGCACCCUAUCCAGAAGUAACCUGAGUCUGAGCCUAUGGGCUCUCCCACACCAGUUCCUUUGAGGUGGAGACACCC
ensembl:lncRNA